CCCUUAGACGUUCUGGGCCGCACGCGCGCUACACUGACCAGUGCAACAAGCAUCCGUCCUUGGCCGACAGGCUCGGGCAAUCUUUGAACGCUGGUCGUGAUGGGGAUAGACUUUUGCAAUUUUUUGUCUUCAACGAGGAAUUCCUAGUAAACGCAAGUCAUCAACUUGCAUUGAUUACGUCCCUGCCCUUUGUACACACCGCCCGUCGCACCUACCGAUUGAAUGGUCCGGUGAAGCCUCCGGAUUGGCGCGCACCUCGGUGCCGCCGAGAAGUUGGCUAAACCUUACCAUUUAGAGGAAGGUGAAGUCGUAACA
rnacentral:rRNA from 1 species